UGAUUCCUCACACAUCUGGGCCAAGC
rnacentral:piRNA from 1 species